rnacentral:rRNA from 1 species
UACGUAGGGGGCUAGCGUUGUCCGGAUUUAUUGGGCGUAAAGAGCGUGUAGGCGGCCGUACAGGUCAGCUGUGAAAACUCGAGGCUCAACCUCGAGACGUCGGUUGAAACCGUACGGCUAGAGUCCGGAAGAGGAGAGUGGAAUUCCCGGUGUAGCGGUGAAAUGCGCAGAUAUCGGGAAGAACACCCGUGGCGAAGGCGGCUCUCUGGGACGGUACUGACGCUGAGACGCGAAAGCGUGGGGAGCGAACAGG